rnacentral:rRNA from 1 species
GGCUCAGAACGAACGCUGGCGGCGUACUUAACACAUGCAAGUCGGACGAGAAAGGGGACUUCGGUCUCUGAGUACAGUGGCGCACGGGUGCGUAACACGUAAGUAAUCUGCCCCGAACCCUGGGAUAACCCUCCGAAAGGAGGGCUAAGACUGGAUAGGGUCCCCGAGGUGUAGGCUGCGGGGGGAAAACGGGCCUCUGAUGCAUGCUCGUGGUCCGGGAUGAGCUUGCGGCCCAUUAGCUAGUUGGUAGGGUAAAGGCUUACCAAGGCGACGAUGGGUAGCUGGUCUGAGAGGAUGAUCAGCCACACUGGCACUGAGAUACGGGCCAGACUCCUACGGGAGGCAGCAGUGGGGAAUUUUGCGCAAUGGGCGAAAGCCUGACGCAGUAACGCCGCGUGGAGGAUGAAGGCCUUCGGGUUGUAAACUCCUGUCAGGGGGAACGACGGGGACCGGGGGACAACUGCGGUCCCCCAGACGGUACCUCCAAAGGAAGCCCCGGCUAAUUCCGUGCCAGCAGCCGCGGUAAUACGGAAGGGGCAAGCGUUGUUCGGAAUCAUUGGGCGUAAAGGGCGCGUAGGUGGUCGUGUAUGUCUCUCGUGAAAGCCCACGGCUCAACCGUGGUGCGUCGGGAGAAACUGCAGGACUUGAGGCUGGGAGGGGCUGGUGGAAUUCCCUGUGUAGCGGUGAAAUGCGUAGAGAUGGGGGAGAACACUCGUGGCGAAGGCGGCCAGCUAGACCAGUUCUGACACUGAGGCGCGACAGCGUGGGGAGCAAACAGGAUUAGAUACCCUGGUAGUCCACGCUGUAAACGAUGGGCACUAGGUGCCGGCGGUCUUGAUCCCGUCGGUGCCGGCGCUAACGCAGUAAGUGCCCCGCCUGGGGAGUACGGUCGCAAGGC